AGUUUGAUCCUGGCUCAGGAUGAACGCUAGCUACAGGCUUAACACAUGCAAGUCGAGGGGAAACGACAUCGAAAGCUUGCUUUCGAUGGGCGUCGACCGGCGCACGGGUGAGUAACGCGUAUCCAACCUGCCCAUCACUUGGGGAUAACCUUGCGAAAGUAAGACUAAUACCCAAUGACGUCUCUAGAAGACAUCUGAAGGAGAUUAAAGAUUUAUCGGUGAUGGAUUGGGAUGCGUCUGAUUAGCUUGUUGGCGGGGUAACGGCCCACCAAGGCGACGAUCAGUAGGGGUUCUGAGAGGAAGGUCCCCCACAUUGGAACUGAGACACGGUCCAAACUCCUACGGGAGGCAGCAGUGAGGAAUAUUGGUCAAUGGGCGAGAGCCUGAACCAGCCAAGUAGCGUGCAGGAUGACGGCCCUAUGGGUUGUAAACUGCUUUUAUAAGGGAAUAAAGUGAGCCUCGUGAGGCUUUUUGCAUGUACCUUAUGAAUAAGGACCGGCUAAUUCCGUGCCAGCAGCCGCGGUAAUACGGAAGGUCCGGGCGUUAUCCGGAUUUAUUGGGUUUAAAGGGAGCGUAGGCCGGAGAUUAAGCGUGUUGUGAAAUGUAGACGCUCAACGUCUGCACUGCAGCGCGAACUGGUUUCCUUGAGUACGCACAAAGUGGGCGGAAUUCGUGGUGUAGCGGUGAAAUGCUUAGAUAUCACGAAGAACUCCGAUUGCGAAGGCAGCUCACUGGAGCGCAACUGACGCUGAAGCUCGAAAGUGCGGGUAUCGAACAGGAUUAGAUACCCUGGUAGUCCGCACGGUAAACGAUGGAUGCCCGCUGUUGGUCUGAAUAGGUCAGCGGCCAAGCGAAAGCAUUAAGCAUCCCACCUGGGGAGUACGCCGGCAACGGUGAAACUCAAAGGAAUUGACGGAAGGGCGA
rnacentral:rRNA from 1 species